GCGUUACUUGACGCUGGCGGGGUGGUGGCCUGACGGCGGCGCGUGCCGGGGCUGCUCCUGCCUUCCCAUCCCGCCCGGAGCGGCGUGGCAGGGAACCUCCGUACUGCGCGCUAGUCGUGGUGCCCGGGGCGGCGAUGCUUUAAACCACGUUCUUCCCCGGCUGAUGAACGUCACGUCUCUCUGUGUCUCCCCGCGGUGGGCACGGGAAGGCACGGGCGCUGUCUUGAAGGCGGUGACAUAGGCGCGCCCCACCUGGUUCCAGCAGUAGGGUGGGCGGGGUAGCUCUGCAGGAGGGGCACGUUUGAUUCCCCGGCUCCGACCCUCACUCGGGACCCUGGGUUGCUGGCGCCACCCGAGUCCGCGGACUCUGCAGAGCCUUAACGGGAGAGCCCCUUCUCGCAGCGCUUCCCCGGCCGGCACUGCUGGGCCGCCGCGCCUCGGCCGGACGCUCCCGCGGGUGUCCGGGCCCGCCCGGAAGGGGCGGUGGCCCCGGCGAUGGCGGACGAGGCGCUGUUCCUGCUGCUGCACAGCGAGAUGGUGGCGGGGCUGUACCGCGCCGCCGAGCAGGGCGAAGGGGAGAACGGGCGCUGCACCACCAAGCUGGAGAGCAUGGGCUUCCGCGUCGGGCAGGGGCUCAUCGAGAGGUUUACAAAAGAUACUGCCAGGUUCAAGGAUGAAUUAGAUAUUAUGAAGUUUAUUUGCAAAGAUUUUUGGACAACGGUGUUCAAAAAACAAAUAGAUAACCUAAGGACUAAUCACCAGGGUAUUUAUGUCCUUCAAGACAAUAAAUUUCGUCUCUUGACACAAAUGUCUUCAGGAAAGCAGUAUUUAGAACAUGCACCAAAGUAUUUAGCAUUCACCUGUGGACUAAUCAGAGGGGGCCUAUCAAACCUGGGAAUAAAGAGUAUUGUAACUGCUGAAGUUUCAUCAAUGCCUGCAUCAUUUUUCAAGGUGGAAUUUGUUUGAAGCUGCUGGGCCACAGGAGUCCAUGUGAACUUCAGGAAGCAUCAAAUGUGUAAGGAUGUGUGUCCAGAAAGUUAUUUGCACAAGUGAAGAUCUUUCUCUGUAGGAGUCAUUAAGAAAGUUAGUAAAUUUCAGGUGAUGAUACAGAAGAUGUAGAGCAGAUUCAAAUCUGGGUAUCUACUUUAAAUAGCCUUUGUAUGUGGAUUCAGUAUCUUGGCUCAGUCUUGUAUAUAACAUGUAAAUUAUAGCAGUGUGCAGCACAAUUCCAAAAUAUAUAAUAAAUGCACAUGGAAAUAACACUA